rnacentral:rRNA from 1 species
AUUGAACGCUGGCGGCAGGCCUAACACAUGCAAGUCGAGCGGAUGAAGGGAGCUUGCUCCUGGAUUCAGCGGCGGACGGGUGAGUAAUGCCUAGGAAUCUGCCUGGUAGUGGGGGACAACGUUUCGAAAGGAACGCUAAUACCGCAUACGUCCUACGGGAGAAAGCAGGGGACCUUCGGGCCUUGCGCUAUCAGAUGAGCCUAGGUCGGAUUAGCUAGUUGGUGAGGUAAUGGCUCACCAGGGCGACGAUCCGUAACUGGUCUGAGAGGAUGAUCAGUCACAAUGGAAAUGAGACACGGGCCAGACUCCUACGGGAGGCAGCAGUGGGGAAUAUUGGACAAUGGGCGAAAGCCUGAUCCAGCCAUGCCGCGUGUGUGAAGAAGGUCUUCGGAUUGUAAAGCACUUUAAGUUGGGAGGAAGGGUUGUAGAUUAAUACUCUGCAAUUUUGACGUUACCGACAGAAUAAGCACCGGCUAACUCUGUGCCAGCCGCCGCAGUAA